rnacentral:rRNA from 1 species
UUAAUUAAAAUAUAUAGUAUUAUAUAACACGAAGUUGGGGGAGCUAUUUAUUAUAUAUUUGUAGAUAUCAAAAUGUUGCAUAAUCAAGUAAAUAAUAAGUAGGAGUGAUAGGCUUUUCACAUUCAACGAUAACUUGAUGGUUUAGAAAUGUAUUAAUACAAAGACACCCUUUAAGUGAUAAGGUUUAAAGAGGUUAACAAAUAAUUUAGUUAAAAAGCGUAUCUUAUUUAAUCAUUAAUAUAGAAAUAAAAUAAUAUUAAUUUACUAUUUAUUGUUUAGAUUAUAAACCUAUUGGAAAAUAAAUUAACAAAUAAAUAAUGUUAAUAUUAGUAACAAAGAGAUAUUAAUAAUGAACUCGGCAAGAGUCUUUCAACUGUUUACCAAAAACAUAGCUAUAUGAUUUAAUAUAUAGUGUUUUCUGCUCAAUGAAUAUUAAAUAGCCGCAGUACUCUGACUGUGCUAAGGUAGCGCAAUCAAUUGACUUUUAAAUGAAGUCCAGUAUGAAAGAAAUUAUGGAGGAUUACUUUCUCAUUAAUAUUUAUUGAAAUUACUUAUGAAGUGUAAAUUCUUUUAUAUAAAUAAUAGACGAGAAGACCCUAGAAAUUUUAAAGAAAUGACCUUUUUGUUGGGGCAACAAAGUAGCAUAGUUAAUCUACUAUUAUAACAAGAAAGUUAUAUCUUGCAAGAUGAAAUUACUCUAGGGAUAACAGCAUAAUUUAUAAUAGUUUGUGACCUCGAUGUUGGAUUAGGGAAAUAACAUUUAGAAG